AAGGGUGUAUAUGGAAUUCCCAAGGAUUCACAUGAUUGAAGGUAGGUCAUGGAUCAUGGAAGAUAUGAAUGGUGCCCUAAAGUGGAAGAAGGAAUAAUUAAGAGUAUGCUCGCCAAGGUUUCGCAUCCUUGUGCCUACGUAUUCUCAUUGUGCAAUGAGAAAAUAAGAGCAUUUGUAGUUCAUGGAGCCACGGAAAUAAAGGAGAGAUAAGGAAG
rnacentral:lncRNA from 1 species